UUUAUUAAAAAUUUCUUGCCUAUCCAAUACAUAGUUUUUUUUUUAUAUUUUCAAUUGAAUUAAUAUUUUAUAAUUUUUCUAUUGGAUGAUUUAAGUCUUAUUUUGUUCUAUUAUCUUACUUAGUUAUCUUUACAUAUUUAGAAAUUAAAAAUUUUAUUAUUAAUAUAAAUAAAUAUUAUAAUUAAUAUAAAAUGAUAAAUAAAAUUUAUCAUUUUAAUUAUAAAUGCGUUAGAUUAAAGAAUCUUCAUUGCCACUUAU
rnacentral:lncRNA from 1 species